rnacentral:misc_RNA from 1 species
AACGCACGAGACCUGCGGACCUGCGGAGGGAUCAUUAUAGGGAAUGCCCUCGUGGCUUAACCUUCAACCCAAUGAUGUUACUUCUCAACUGCCUUUCGGCGGUUUAUCCGCCGGAGGAAAUCUCAAACUCAUCAUAAACAUGUCAUGAUCUUAACUAAAUAUCAAUCAAUUAAAACUUUCAACAAUGGAUCUCU